UACGUAGGGGGCAAGCGUUGUCCGGAUUUAUUGGGCGUAAAGGGCUCGUAGGCGGCCAACUAAGUCAGACGUGAAAUCCCUCGGCUUAACCGGGGAACUGCGUCUGAUACUGGAUGGCUUGAGGUUGGGAGAGGGAUGCGGAAUUCCAGGUGUAGCGGUGAAAUGCGUAGAUAUCGUAAGGAAGACCAGUGGCGAAGGCGGGUCUCUGGACAGUUCCUGACACUGAGGCACGAAGGCCAGGGGAGCAAACGGG
rnacentral:rRNA from 1 species